GCGUCUGAUUAGCUAGUUGGUGAGGUAAAGGCUCACCAAGGCGACGAUCAGUAGCUGGUCUGAGAGGAUGACCAGCCACAUUGGGACUGAGACACGGCCCAAACUYCUACGGGAGGCAGCAGUGGGGAAUCUUGCGCAAUGGGCGAAAGCCUGACGCAGCCAUGCCGCGUGAAUGAUGAAGGUCUUAGGAUUGUAAAAUUCUUUCACCGGGGACGAUAAUGACGGUACCCGGAGAAGAA
rnacentral:rRNA from 1 species